rnacentral:lncRNA from 1 species
CUUGUUCUGUUACGUCCUUAACAUCAUUACUUUGAGUAAUUUAUAAUUCUAACAGUUAGUUCUGUAACUCUGAAAUUACUUCAUGAAAUACUAUUUUGAAGAGCUGAUUCUUCCCUUUCACCAAAAUCUCAGAGGUUGGGACUCACACUGGGAAUUUUGGCUCUGUGAAGCAGUGUGCCAAAUCAUCUUUUCAGCAAUACUUACCAGCACCCCCAGCCAUGGGUAAACAGAAAAUGGAAACCUAAAUCCUAGACUGGCAUAGAAAAAAAUGAAAGGAAAGUCUCUGUGAUAUGGAACAAGAAUCUAAUGUUUGGCAGCGCAAUUCCUGAGGUAGUAAGAUUAUUUUUUUGCCAGUCUUAUGAAAAUUUCUCCUAAUUUGAACAAGAUGUAAGAUUUUUAAAUACUAUGAAUUUAAGUAUGCACAAAUUGUUUGAAUGCACCGUUUCUGUUCACUGAAGUUGCUCUGGAUUCAGCCUAUUCCUAGUUACCUUCUGAGUUAUGGCCCUGUCCUGAAUGUAUGGGCACAUUGCAACCUGUUUUGGAGCAUAUUCCUGUGUCCACCAUUGCUCUUGCCUUUUCGGAAGUGAUGUCGUUCUUGUUUCUGUAACUGACUUCAUGUAUAAGGUCUGGCUCUCAGGAAGAAAUGGAGAAAACAACUUUAACUGAAUGGAUGCAGAGAAGAUGGGAAGGGAUAGGUAAGAAAAUUAUAAGGGAAAGGAGAAGCAGCAGCAGAAUGGGAAAAAAAAAAAAAAAAAAAAAAAAACAGAAGAGCCGAGGGAGAGGAAUAAGGAAAAUCUAAAAAACAAGAUGAGAAUACCUCAAAAGCACUCUCCUUUGGAGGCUGAGCAGCUCUUUGAUCACACGGCUGGAUAUUGCUGCCAUACUACCAAAUGCAUUAUUCUAUCCCUCUCAGCAUGGUGACCCACACAGAAGAUAACAACCUUUUGCAGACACUUGCUAAUCUUUUCUUUUAAGUGUUUGAGUGCACUGUGUUGCCUAUCUGAAUCCCUGCUUGAUCCUGUGAAGAGAAGGUUCAUGAGACAUGGUCCUACAGGAAAACCUUUUAAAUAAUAUAUACACAGCCUUCUACAAGAAACCUAAUUUAUGUCAUUGUUUAACUUUUGAGAUAAUCUGCUUUGCAAUUUUAAUGUUGUUACCAGAGGAUUUUGGUCAGAAUAUACAUGUAUCUAUGCAGCUAUCUGCAAUCUCUUUGAAGGUAGCCUUUGCUUUUUUUCCAAACAGCUGAAUUUUAGACCCAUCUGAAAGACAAGCUAACAGUGUCUUUUUUUUUUUGUUU